GGAGAGGAGAGGAGGUUUGAGGAGUGGCGGAGAGGAGAGGAGGUUUGAGGAGUGGCGGAGAGGAGAGGAGAGGAGGUUUGAGGGGUGGCGGAGAGGAGAGGAGAGGAGGUUUGAGGGGUGGCGGAGAGGAGAGAAGGGUUGAGGGGUGGCGGAGAGGAGAGGAGGUUUGAGGAGUGGCGGAGAGGAGAGGAGAGGAGGGUUGAGGGGUGGCGGAGAGGAGAGGAGGGUUGAGGAGGGGCGGAGAGGAGAGGAGGGUUGAGGGGUGGCGGAGAGGAGAGGAGGGUUGAGGGGUGGCGGAGAGGAGAGGAGGGUUGAGGAGUGGCGGAGAGAGGAGGGUUGAGGGGGGGCGGAGAGGAGAGGAGGGUUGAGGGGUGGCGGAGAGGAGAGGAGGGUUGAGGGGUGGCGGAGAGGAGAGGAGGGUUGAGGAGUGGCGGAGAGGAGAGGAGAGGAGGUUUGAGGAGUGGCGGAGAGGAGAGGAGAGAAGGGUUGAGGGGUGGCGGAGAGGAGAGGAGGGUUGAGGGGUGGCGGAGAGGAGAGGAGGGUUGAGGAGUGGCGGAGAGGAGGGUUGAGGAGUGGCGGAGAGGAGAGGAGGGUUGAGGGGUGGCGGAGAGGAGAGGAGGGUUGAGGGGUGGCGGAUAGGAGAGGAGGGUUGAGGAGUGGCGGAGAGGAGAGGAGAGGAGGUUUGAGGAGUGGCGGAGAGGAGAGGAGAGAAGGGUUGAGGGGUGGCGGAGAGGAGAGGAGGGUUGAGGGGUGGCGGAGAGGAGAGAAGGGUCAAGGGGUGGCGGAGAGGAGAGAAGGGUUGAGGGGUGGCGGAGAGGAGAGGAGGUGUGAGGAGUGGCGGAGAGGAGAGAGGAGGGUCGAGGGGUGGCGGAGAGGAAAGGAAGGUUGAGUAGUGGUGGAGAGGAGGGUUGAGGAGUGGCGGAGAGGAGAGGAGGUUUGAGGAGUGGCGGAGAGGAGAGGAGGUUUGAGGAGUGGCGGAGAGGAGAGGAGGUUUGAGGAGUGGCAGAGAGGAGAGGAGGGUCAAGGAGUGGCGGAGAGGAGAGGAGGGUUGAGGGUUGGCGGAGAGGAGAGGAGGUUUGAGGAGUGGCGGAGAGGAGAGGAGGUUGAGGGGUGGUGGAGAGGAGAGGAGGGUUGAGGGGUGGCGGAGAGGAGAGGAGAGGAGGUGUGAGGAGUGGCGGAGAGGAGAGGAGGGUUGAGGGGUGGCGGAGAGGAGAGGAGGUUGAGGGGUGGUGGAGAGGAAAGGAAGGUUGAGGAGUGGUGGAGAGGAGGGUUGAGGAGUGGCGGAGAGGAGAGGAGAGUUGAGGGGUGGCGGAGAGGAGAGAAGGGUUGAGGGGUGGUGGAGAGGAGAGUUGAGGGGGCAGAGAGGAGGGGGUGGCG
ensembl:lncRNA